GUAAUUUAAGUUAAUUAAGUGGUAAAUAUGGAGGGACUAAAGAUGUAAAUGCCCAAAAGUUUAGAUAAUAAAAUGUUAAAUGAUUAAAACCCACACACAACUCGUGUGUGGGGUUCUGGACGAUCGACAGAGAGGAGCAAGGAGGGGUGAAACCCUAACUUCACAAAAUCCACAAGAAUUACUACAAAUCUUAAGGAAAUCGAAAGAAUAAUCAUCAAAUUCUAAGCUCCUACACCUGUUCUUUGAAGUGGAUAGGAAACCAAAAUUUACAUGGACUCAAGUAUAUAGGCUAUCGGAUUAAAAGGAAAUGAGGAAGUUAUGCACAAACUUGGAUGCACGAGGUAAAUCCUCAAUUUUGGCGACUUGGAGAAUUGGAGCGAGCGCGUGUUCAUGUUAUGCGAUACCAAACGCUUCCGCUAGUUUGUUCAAAUGUUUUCGAUCCAAAAUUUGUUGUAUUGGUUUUUAGUAGUAUUUUUUUGAACGAAUUGUAGAAUUGUAUCUAGUUUGUUUAUGUUUAAAACAGGGGUAUGCUCGUUUUAUGGACGGGUCAUGCCCGAUUUUUGUUAAA